AUGGCAUCAGGCACACGGAGGGAACUCUUCUUCAUCGGUGCGAUGAACAAUGACCGUGAUCUCCGUUCCACACCGUCACCAGCUAGCAAGAUGAAGCAUUCUGUCACGGUUAGGCCGAAGGCUAUGCUUAGCGCUGUUCUUGCUGAAGAUGGUUUACCAGAGGUGAAGUACAAGACCUGCGCAUCUUACCAUGGCCGUGUGGCGGCUACUCCAUCACAGUCGCGUUCAUCUGCAGCGGCAAAGCAUAUGAGGAUCAAUGGCGACCCAGCUGUGGAUGCCAAUGGGCCAUGCAAAAUGCUGCUCCUCGGUGCUUGGAGCAUCUUCAGGCCACCAUGGAUAUUGAAUUUGACUGCCCUCAAAUGCAUAAAAUUAAGACCGAGAUGA
rnacentral:rRNA from 1 species